UUCUCAUCUUUUCCUUUGAUGUAAAAGGGUUUCACAUCUUAGUUUGUUUAGGCAACUUUCAACAUCCCUCUUGAAUUAACAUAUAUGGAAAAGAAGUUGACAAAACUAGUAAUAAGAACUAUGCUGCCUUAUGUUUUACAUUUUGAUGCAGCCAUACUCAUGAUUUACUGACCUGCUUUACAUUGUUGGCUGUUCCAGCCUUUUGCCUGUAUUUGUUCCUGUUUUAACAUUUGUUUUUAUUCUAAUCAAAACAGUUUUCCUGCACAGGAUCAUAUUAAUGACUGGAGAAAAACAGCACUUUGUUUAACAUCCAUUUUCUUUCUUGCUGCUAUAAUAUGGUUCAUAGAACACGUACUGAAGAAAUUGCUGGAUGUUGCACAUGGGUUUCAAAUGCUAAUAGACCCUAAAGGAGUGCUGAAAUGGUGACCACAUGCUAUC